rnacentral:rRNA from 1 species
CGAGCAACGCCGCGUGAACGAUGAAGUAUUUCGGUAUGUAAAGUUCUUUUAUUGAAGAAGAAAAAAUAGUGGAAAAACUAUCUUGACGUUAUUCAAUGAAUAAGCCCCGGCUAACUAUGUGCCAGCAGCCGCGGUAAGACAUAGGGGGCGAGCGUUAUCCGGAAUUAUUGGGCGUAAAGGGUGCGUAGGCGGUUAGGAAAGUCUAUAAUUUAAUUUCAGUGCUUAACGCUGUCUUGUUAUAGAAACUACCUUGACUAGAGUUAGAUAGAGGCAAGCGGAAUUCCAUGUGUAGCGGUAAAAUGUGUAAAUAUAUGGAGGAACACCAGAAGCGUAGGCGGCUUGCUGGGUCUUGACUGACGCUGAGGCACGAAAGCGUGGGUAGCAAACAGGAUUAGAUACCCUGGUAGUCCACGCCGUAAACGAUGAGUACUAAGUGUCGGGAUAAAACUCGGUACUGAAGUUAACACAUUAAGUACUCCGCCUGAGUAGUACGUACGCAAGUAUGAAACUUAAAGGAAUUGACGGGACUCCGCACAAGCGGUGGAUCAUGUUGUUUAAUUCGAAGAUACACGAAAAAUCUUACCAGGUCUUGACAUGCUCUGCAAAGCUAUAGAAAUAUAGUGGAGGUUAUCAGGGACACAGGUGGUGCAUGGUUGUCGUCAGUUCGUGUCGUGAGAUGUUAGGUUAAGUCCUAAAACGAGCGCAACCCUUGUCGUUAGUUACCAGCACGUAAUGGUGGGCACUUUAACGAGACUGCCAAUUAAACAUUGGAGGAAGGUGAGGAUUACGUCAAAUCAUCAUGCCCCUUAUGAUCUGGGCUACAAACGUGAUACAA